rnacentral:rRNA from 1 species
UACGUAGGGGGCAAGCGUUAUCCGGAUUUACUGGGUGUAAAGGGAGCGUAGGCGGUGCGCCAAGCUGGGUGUGAAAGGCCGGGGCUCAACCCCGGGACUGCACUCGGAACUGGCGUGCUAGAGUGUUGGAGAGGUAAGCGGAAUUCCUAGUGUAGCGGUGAAAUGCGUAGAUAUUAGGAGGAACACCAGUGGCGAAGGCGGCUUACUGGACAAUAACUGACGCUGAGGCUCGAAAGCGUGGGGAGCAAACAGG